GGGGUCGUAGGGUAGCCAGGUUUAUCCUUCAAGCUUUGGGAGCUUGAGACCCGAGUUCGAAUCUCGGCGACCCCA
rnacentral:tRNA from 1 species